CUACGGGAUGCUGCAGUCGAGAAUCUUCCGCAAUGGACGAAAGUCUGACGGAGCGACGCCGCGUGGAGGAUGAAGUGCUUCGGUAUGUAAACUCCUUUUGCCAGGGAAGAAGUCUAUUGACGGUACCUGGAGAAUAAGAGGUUGCUAAACUCGUGCCAGCAGCAGCGGUAAUACGAGUGCCUCGAGCGUUAUCCGGAAUCAUUGGGCGUAAAGGGUGCGUAGGCGGCGAUGUUAGUCUCCCGUAAAAUUCCUCGGCUCAACCGGGGGCGCGCGGGAGAAACGGCAUUGCUAGAAGGCGGUAGGGGUCUCUGGAACUCAUGGUGUAGCGGUGAUAUGCGUUGAUAUCAUGGGGAACACCGAAAGCGAAGGCAGGAGACUGGACCGUUCUUGACGCUGAAGCACGAAAGCGUGGGUCGCGAAUGGGAUUAGAUACCCGUGUAGUC
rnacentral:rRNA from 1 species